rnacentral:rRNA from 1 species
GAUGAACGCUGGCGGCGUGCCUAAUACAUGCAAGUCGAGCGAACGGACGAGAAGCUUGCUUCUCUGAUGUUAGCGGCGGACGGGUGAGUAACACGUGGAUAACCUACCUAUAAGACUGGGAUAACUUCGGGAAACCGGAGCUAAUACCGGAUGAUCUUUUGAACCGCAUGGUUCAAAAGUGAAAGACGGUCUUGCUGUCACUUAUAGAUGGAUCCGCGCUGCAUUAGCUAGUUGGUAAGGUAACGGCUUACCAAGGCAACGAUGCAUAGCCGACGUGAGAGGGUGAUCGGCCACACUGGAACUGAGACACGGUCCAGACGCCUACGGGAGGCAGCAGUAGGGAAUCUUCCGCAAUGGGCGAAAGCCUGACGGAGCAACGCCGCGUGAGUGAUGAAGGUCUUCGGAUCGUAAAACUCUGUUAUUAGGGAAGAACAUAUGUGUAAGUAACUGUGCACAUCUUGACGGUACCUAAUCAGAAAGCCACGGCUAACUACGUG